rnacentral:rRNA from 1 species
GGACUACUCGGGUAUCUAAUCCUGUUCGAUCCCCACGCUUUCGAGCCUCAGUGUCAGUUACUCCUUAGUAAGCUGCCUUCGCAAUCGGUGUUCUUGAAGAUAUCUAUGCAUUUCACCGCUACACCUUCAAUUCCGCCUACCUCAUCAGUACUCAAGCUAAUCAGUAUCAAUGGCACGUCUCCAGUUAAGCUGGAGGAUUUCACCACUGACUUAAAAAGCCACCUACGCUCCCUUUAAACCCAAUAAAUCCGGACAACGCUUGCACCCUCCGUAUUACCGCGGCUGCUGGCAC